CACGCAGUCUCCUUCGGGUGGCUGAGUGGCGCACGGCUGAGGACCACGUGGGAACAUGCCUCGGAGUGGGGGACAACAGCGCGAAAGCGCUGUUAAUCCCGCAUACGUUCGCAAGAAGAAAGCAGUGAUGCGCUCUGAGAGUGGCCCGCGGCCCAUCAGGUCGUAGGUGGGGUAAUGGCCUACCUAGCCGGUGACGGGUAGCUGGUCUGUGAGGACAGACAGCCAGACUGGGACUGAGACACGGCCCAGACUCC
rnacentral:rRNA from 1 species